rnacentral:rRNA from 1 species
UACAGAGGUCCCGAGCGUUUGUUCGGAUUUAUUGGGCGUAAAGGGUGCGUAGGCGGCGGAGUAAGUUGGGUGUGAAAUCCCGGGGCUCAACCUCGGAAUUGCAUUCAAUACUGCUUCGCUCGAGUACUGGAGAGGAGGCUGGAAUUUACGGUGUAGCAGUGAAAUGCGUAGAUAUCGUAAGGAAGGCCGGUGGCGAAAAGCGAGCCUCUGGACAGUUACUGACGCUGAUGCACGAAGGCCAGGGGAGCAAACGGG